rnacentral:rRNA from 1 species
UACGAAGGGGGCUAGCGUUGCUCGGAAUCACUGGGCGUAAAGCGCACGUAGGCGGAUCUUUAAGUCAGGGGUGAAAUCCUGGAGCUCAACUCCAGAACUGCCUUCGAUACUGGCGAUCUCGAGUUCGGGAGAGGUGAGUGGAACUGCGAGUGUAGAGGUGAAAUUCGUAGAUAUUCGCAAGAACACCAGUGGCGAAGGCGGCUCACUGGCCCGAUACUGACGCUGAGGUGCGAAAGCGUGGGGAGCAAACAGG